UACGGGGGGGGCAAGCGUUGUUCGGAAUUACUGGGCGUAAAGGCUUGUAGGCGGCCAACUAAGUCCGACGUGAAAUCCCCAGGCUUAACCUGGGAACUGCGUCGGAUACUGGAUGGCUUGAAUUCGGGAGAGGGAUGCAGAAUUCCAGGUGUAGCGGUGAAAUGCGUAGAUAUCUGGAGGAAUACCGGUGGCGAAGGCGGCAUCCUGGGACCGACAUUGACGCUGAGGAGCGAAAGCUAGGGGAGCAAACGGG
rnacentral:rRNA from 1 species